rnacentral:rRNA from 2 species
AUGACUCUCGGCAACGGAUAUCUCGGCUCUCGCAUCGAUGAAGAACGUAGCGAAAUGCGAUACUUGGUGUGAAUUGCAGAAUCCCGUGAACCAUCGAGUCUUUGAACGCAAGUUGCGCCCGAAGCCAUUAGGUUGAGGGCACGUCUGCCUGGGUGUCACAC